GGUGUCGUUGCUCGGUUGGAUAGAGCAAACGUUUCCAAAAUAUUAGGUCGUGAAUUCAAACCUCACCGAUACCA
rnacentral:tRNA from 1 species